UGACCUUAGAUCAGACUUGGCAACCUGCCGAAUUUAAGCAUAUUACUAAGUGAAGGAAAGAAACUAACCAGGAUUCUCUCAGUAACGGCGAGUGAAGAGGGAAGAGCCCAGCACUGAAUCCCCACCCAGGCAUCGGGCACAGGGAAGUGUGGCAUACAGAAGUCCAUCUCCCAGGCACUACCCAGGGAGCUCAAGUCCUUGUUAUUAAGGCUCAGCCUGCGGAUGGUGUGAGGCCGGUGGUGGCCCUCGUCUCAUCGCGAUCAGGUCUUCCCACAGUUGGGUUGCUUGUUAAUGCAGCCAAAAGUGGGUGGUAAACUUCAUUUAAGCCUAAACACUGGCAUGAGACUGAUAGUGGACAAGUAUUGUAAGGGAAAGUUGAAAAGAACUUUGAAGAGAGAGUUCAAGAAGGCAUGAAACUGUUAAGAGGUAAACGGGUGGGGUCCAUGCAAUCUGCCCGGAGGAUUCAACUCAGUGGCUACAUCACCUCCCCGGGUGAGGCAGAUUCCCCCUCCUCCUCCAGGGGGUGGGGACCAUCCUCAGGCACACCGGCCAUGGUUGUAUGCACUUCCUCCACAGUGGCAUGCCACAACUGGCUCUGGGCUAGCUGGGAAGGCCUCAUGGAAGGUGGAACCCUCCUCGAAGGGGAGAGUUACAGCUCGUGGCAUCAACCUUUGCUGUGCCCUGGGGUCAUGGGAGACAACCGCUGCUGCACCCACCUCCACCCUCGUGGCAGGAGCCAGGGCCCCUGGCUCCCGGUGGGACUGUUGACUGAUCCGGACUGUCCUCAGUGUGGCCCGACUGCUUCCCACCACCGGGCCGGUGGGCUUACCUUGGGUGACCCACCCAUCCUGUCUUGAAAUAUGGGACCAAGGAGUCUAACAGAUGCAGGAGUCUAAGGGUGGGCAGGAGACCCCACAGCACACUGAAAGUGAGGUCCAGCAUGCACCAGCUGUGGCAGGAUCCCCUUGCCCCAUGUGGGGCAUGUACUGCCAGCCUGUCUCACCCAUCUUGUCAGGGAGGUGGAGUGUGAGCAUACCGGGUGGGACCUGAAAGAUGGUGAACUAUGCCUGGGCAGUGCAAAGCCAGAAGAAACUCUGGUGGAGGUCCGUAGUGGUCUUGACAUGUAAAUUGGUCAUCUGACCUGGGUAUAGAAGCGAAAGACUAUUUGAACCAUCUAGUAGCUGGCUCCCUCUGAAGUUUCCCUCAGGAUAGCUGGCACUUGGUGAAUGCAGUUUUAUCUGGUAAAGCAAAUGAUUAGAGAUCUUGGGGGUGAAAUUAUCUCAACCUAUUCUCAAACUUUAAAUAGGUAAGAAGCCCGACUUGCUGGCUUGGAGCCAGGUGUGGAAUGCGAGCGCCCAGUGGGCCACUUUUGGUAAGCAGAACUGGCACUGUAGAAUGAACCGAAUGCCGGGUUAAGGCGCUUGAUGGUGACGCUCAUCAGACCCCAGAAAAGGUGUUGGCUGAUAUAAACAGCAGGAUGGUAGCCAUGGAAGUUGGAAUCUGCUAAGGAGUAUGUAACAACUCAUCUGCUGAAUCAAUUAGCCCUGGAAAUGGAUGGGACUGGAGCUGGGAGCUGGGGGGGGGGCUAUGUCACAAUGAGGAGAAGGGCCACCACGGUGGCACUGAGGCCCAGGGUGAGGGCCUGAGUGAAGCUUCCACUGGUGCAGAUCUUGGUGGUGGUAGAAAAUAUUCAAAUAAGAGCUUUGAAGGGCAAAGUGGAGAAGGGUUCCAUCUGAACAGCAGUUGAACAUGGGUCAGUCUGUCCUGAAAGAUAGGUGAGGGCCAUUCCGAAGGGAUGGGGUGAUGGCCUCAGUUGACCUUGGCCGAUCGAAAGGGAGUCGGGUUCAGAUCCUUGAAUCCGGAGCGGUGGAGAUGGGUGCCUCAUGGUGUCCAAUGCAGUAAUACAAACAAUCCAAGAGAAGCCAUUAGGGGCCCCUGGGGAGAGUUCUCUUUUCUUUUUAAUGGGCAGGGCACCUUGGAAUGGGUUUGCCCUGAGAGAGGGCCCGUGCACUGGUAAGCGUCAUGGUUCUUGUUACGUAAGGUGAGCUCUCACCCACCCUUGAAAAUCUGGGGGAGAGGGUGUAAGUCUAGUGUCGGGCCGUACCCAUAUCCAUCUCCAAGGUGAACAUGGCAUGGUAGAACAAUGCAGGUAAGGGAAGUCGGCAAACCAGAUCUGUAACUUUGGGAUAAGAACUGGCUCUAAGGGCUGGGUCGGUCAGGCUCGGGCAUGAAGCGGGGUUGGGCAUCUGCCAUGGCUGGAUGAGGCAUCACCCCCUCACCGCUCUCCCCCCUCCCUGGGUGGCUGGGUAGAUGGUGGCGGCAACUCUGGAUGUGCACCGGGCCCUUCCUCUGGACCACCCCAACUGUGGCGGGUGCAGGUCCUGACUGGCAUCCAGCAUUGUUCAGCAGCUAGCAGUUGACUUAGAACUGGUGCGGACCCGAGAAUUUGACUAUUUAAUUAAAACAAAGCAUCGCGAAUGCCCGAGAUGGGUGCUGAUGCAAUGUGAUUUUUGCCCAGUACUCUGAAUGUCAAAGUGAAGAAAUUCAAUGACACGCAGGUAAACAACGGGAGUAAAAAGGCCCGAGAUGGGUGUUAAUGCAAUGUGAUUUUUGCCCAGUGCUUUGACUGUCAAAGAGAAGAAAUUCAAUGACACACAGGUAAACAACGGGAGUAAAAAAAAAAAAACACAGAAAAAGCAAAAAACACCAACUGCAGAAGUAUUAAACAUUUUUGGAGUUUAUGCUUCUGCAGUUGGCUUUUUCUGUGGGUUUUUUAUUUUAUUUUUUAUCUGUUGUUUAGUAAACAGCGGGAGUAACUAUGACUCUCUUAAGGUAGCUAAAUGCCUCAUCAUCUAAUUAGUGAUAUGCAUGAAUGAAUGAACGAGAUUCCCACUCUCCCUACCUACUAUCUAGUGAAACCACAAAAAGGGAAUGUGCUUUGCAGAAUCAGUGGGGAAAGAAGGCCCUGUUGAGCUUAACUCUAGUCUGGCACUGUGAAGAAACAUGAGAGGUGUAGAAUAAGUGGGAGGCCAUAGCUGCCAGUGAAAUACCACUACUCAUCAUUUUUUCUCUUACCGGGUGAGGCACAGGGCUCUCGCUUCUGGCUCCCAGUGCCCGGGUGUCUGAGCACAACCCACUCUGGGGGCAGUGUCGGGUGGGGAGUUUGACUGGGGCAGUACACCUGUUAAAGAAUAAUGCAGGUGUCCUACGGUGAGCUCAGGGUGGACAGAAACCUCCCAUUGAGCAGAAGGGCAAAAGCUUGCUUGAUCUUGAUUUUCCAUAUGAAUACAGACUGUGAUAGUGGACCCUCAUGAUCCUUGUGGCUUUUUGGUUUUAAGCAGGAGGUGUCAGAAAAGUUACCACAGGGAUAUCUGGCUUGUGGUGGCCAAGCGUUCAUAGCGACGUUGCUUUUUGAUCCUUUGAUAUUGGCUCUUCCUGUCAUUGUGAAGCAGAAUUUAACAAGAGUUGGAUUGUUCACCCACUAAUAAGGAAUGUGAGCUGGGUUUAGACCGUCAUGAGACAGGUUGUUUGUACCCUACUGAUGAUGUGUUGUUAUGAUAGUAAUCCUGCUCAGUAUGAGAGGAACUGCAGGUUCAGACAUUUGGUGUAUGUGUUUGGCUAAGGAGCCAAUGGUGUGAAGCUACCAUCUGUGGGAUUAUGACUGCUUCUAAGUCAGAAUCCCGCCUAAACGUAAAGAUACUGCAGCAUCACGGAUCUCCAGUUGGCCAGGGAUAGCAGGCCACAAGGUUGUCGAGGAGCGGCACUAGUCACUGCAGAUGGAAGGGGGCCACCUCUCUCCAGCAGUACACUGCAUGUUCAUGGGUAGCCGGGUGCUAAAUCAUUUGUAGAUGACCUGAGUCUGGGGGUUUCAUAUGUAGCAGAGCAGCAAAAAGCUGCGAUCUAUUGAAAGUCAGCCUUGAGCCAAGCUUUUGC